rnacentral:ribozyme from 14 species
UGUUUUUUGUGUUUAGAUUGUUUCUUCUUUCUUGUGUUUUUUUCUUCUCUACUCUGAGUUAAUACAAAAACAUAAAUGCAAGAAAGUCCUG